rnacentral:rRNA from 1 species
GAUGAACGCUGGCGGCGUGCCUAAUACAUGCAAGUCGAGCGAACGGACGAGAAGCUUGCUUCUCUGAUGUUAGCGGCGGACGGGUGAGUAACACGUGGAUAACCUACCUAUAAGACUGGGAUAACUUCGGGAAACCGGAGCUAACACCGGAUGAUAUUUUGAACCGCAUGGUUCAAAAGUGAAAGACGGUCUUGCUGUCACUUAUAGAUGGAUCCGCGCUGCAUUAGCUAGUUGGUAAGGCAACGGCUUACCAAGGCAACGAUGCAUAGCCGACCUGAGAGGGUGAUCGGCCACACUGGAACUGAGACACGGUCCAGACUCCUACGGGAGGCAGCAGUAGGGAAUCUUCCGCAAUGGGCGAAAGCCUGACGGAGCAACGCCGCGUGAGUGAUGAAGGUCUUCGGAUCGUAAAACUCUGUUAUUAGGGAAGAACAUAUGUGUAAGUAACUGUGCACAUCUUGACGGUACCUAAUCAGAAAGCCACGGCUAACUACGUG